rnacentral:rRNA from 1 species
UACAGAGGUCUCAAGCGUUGUUCGGAUUCAUUGGGCGUAAAGGGUGCGUAGGUGGCGCCAUAAGUCAGGUGUGAAAUCUCGGGGCUCAACCCCGAAACUGCACUUGAUACUGUGGUGCUCGAGUACUGGAGAGGAGAUUGGAGUUUACGGUGUAGCAGUGAAAUGCGUAGAUAUCGUAAGGAAGACCAGUGGCGAAGGCGAAUCUCUGGACAGUUACUGACACUGAGGCACGAAGGCCAGGGGAGCAAACGGG